GACGAACGCUGGCGGCGUGCCUAAUACAUGCAAGUAGAACGCUGAAGGAGGAGCUUGCUCUUCUGGAUGAGUUGCGAACGGGUGAGUAACGCGUAGGUAACCUGCCUGGUAGCGGGGGAUAACUAUUGGAAACGAUAGCUAAUACCGCAUAAUAUUGACUAUUGCAUGAUAGUCAAUUGAAAGGUGCAAAUGCACCACUACCAGAUGGACCUGCGUUGUAUUAGCUAGUUGGUGGGGUAACGGCUCACCAAGGCGACGAUACAUAGCCGACCUGAGAGGGUGAUCGGCCACACUGGGACUGAGACACGGCCCAGACUCCUACGGGAGGCAGCAGUAGGGAAUCUUCGGCAAUGGACGGAAGUCUGACCGAGCAACGCCGCGUGAGUGAAGAAGGUUUUCGGAUCGUAAAGCUCUGUUGUAAGAGAAGAACGAGUGUGAGAGUGGAAAGUUCACACUGUGACGG
rnacentral:rRNA from 1 species